UACGUAGGGUGCAAGCGUUGUCCGGAUUUAUUGGGUUUAAAGGGUGCGUAGGCGGCCCUGUAAGUCAGUGCUGAAAUAUCCCGGCUUAACCGGGAGGGUGGCAUUGAUACUGCAGGGCUUGAGUACAGAUGAAGUAGGCGGAAUUGACGGUGUAGCGGUGAAAUGCAUAGAUAUCGUCAAGAACACCGAUAGCGAAGGCAGCUUACUAAGCUGUAACUGACGCUGAGGCACGAAAGUGUGGGGAUCAAACAGG
rnacentral:rRNA from 1 species